GAGCAAAGAGCAGGAGGACAGGGGAUUGAUCUCCCAAGGGAGGUCCCCUGAUCCGAGUCACGGCACCA
ensembl:miRNA